AAAGAAUUAGUUAAUAUAUAACAUUAAUUUGUCAAGUUAAAAUAAAUAAGUUAUUAUUAUUCUUUA
rnacentral:tRNA from 1 species